rnacentral:rRNA from 1 species
AGUUCUUCCGCAUGGUAGAACUAUUAAAGAAUUUCGGUCAUCGAUGGGGAUGCGUUCCAUUAGGUUGUUGGCGGGGUAACGGCCCACCAAGCCUUCGAUGGAUAGGGGUUCUGAGAGGAAGGUCCCCCACAUUGGAACUGAGACACGGUCCAAACUCCUACGGGAGGCAGCAUG